GUAGGUGGCAAGCGUUGUCCGGAAUUAUUGGGCGUAAAGCGCGCGCAGGCGGUCCUUUAAGUCUGAUGUGAAAGCCCACGGCUCAACCGUGGAGGGUCAUUGGAAACUGGGGGACUUGAGUACAGAAGAGGAAAGCGGAAUUCCACGUGUAGCGGUGAAAUGCGUAGAGAUGUGGAGGAACACCAGUGGCGAAGGCGGCUUUCUGGUCUGUAACUGACGCUGAGGCGCGAAAGCGUGGGGAGCAAACAGGAUUAGAUACCCUGGUAGUCCACGCCGUAAACGAUGAGUGCUAAGUGUUAGGGGGGUUUCCGCCCCCCUUAGUGCUGCAGCUAACGCAUUAAGCACUCCGCCUGGGAUACGGCCGCAAGGCUG
rnacentral:rRNA from 1 species